AAAACUUGCACUUUAUGGUUCAACAACCACAUGUACGAAAAAUAAGUAAAUUAGCUAAUACGGCUCUUUCCAAUUAUUGAGAAGACAUGACAAAAGGACGUGUGCAGUAAGGCGGCCACUGCGUGGGCUCUAAUUCUAACGCUCCUAAUUUGGGGCGUCCAGGAUUCUAUAUCACUUUCACCAGUCACGGACCUGUUCGUCGAGUCGCUACGAGAGUCGAGCUCCCGGACGCGUAUA